GAUGAACGCUGGCGGCGUGCCUAAUACAUGCAAGUCGAGCGAACAGACAAGGAGCUUGCUCCUCUGACGUUAGCGGCGGACGGGUGAGUAACACGUGGAUAACCUACCUAUAAGACUGGGAUAACUUCGGGAAACCGGAGCUAAUACCGGAUAAUAUAUUGAACCGCAUGGUUCAAUAGUGAAAGACGGUUUUGCUGUCACUUAUAGAUGGAUCCGCGCCGCAUUAGCUAGUUGGUAAGGUAACGGCUUACCAAGGCAACGAUGCGUAGCCGACCUGAGAGGGGGAUCGGCCACACUGGAACUGAGACACGGUCCAGACUCCUACGGGAGGCAGCAGUAGGGAAUCUUCCGCAAUGGGCGAAAGCCUGACGGAGCAACGCCGCGUGAGUGAUGAAGGUCUUCGGAUCGUAAAACUCUGUUAUUAGGGAAGAACAAAUGUGUAAGUAACUAUGCACGUCUUGACGGUACCUAAUCAGAAAGCCACGGCUAACUACGUG
rnacentral:rRNA from 1 species